CAGAGAGGCAGAGAGAGGCUUGUUGGUAUAGUGAAAUGAACCUCAUUUUUUUCUGUUGUGAGAACAAAAUCUUUUUAGCUUUCCUGAACUGAAAGAGUCUGAUGAGGUCUUAUUUGUUUUAUGAUUUAAAAUCUGAAUUCUUGGUGAAUCUGGGAGAAAGAAUGGAUUUUUUCAGUGGUUUGCUAGUGAUCCUGUGGCUUCAGUUUAUCUGGGUGAGCUGCCAACAUAAGGAGGUGGAGCAGAGUCCUGAGACCCUCAGUGUUCCAGAGGGAGACACCACCUCUCUCAACUGCACUUACAGGGACAGCAGUUCUUACAACUUCAGGUGGUACCGACAGUACCCUGGGAAAGGCCCUGAGCUGCUGAUAUCCAUAUUCUCUGAUGGUGACCAAGAAGAAGGAAGAUUCAAAGCACAGCUCAGCAGACCCAACCGACAUGUUUCCCUGCACAUUGGGGCCUCGCAGCCCCUUGACUCAGCCACCUACUUCUGUGCAGUGAGCACACAGUGCUCCCCAGGCACUUGCUGCCUGCACUCAAACCACAGAGGCUCAGGCAGACCUGAGGAACAGUGGAGAUAG